rnacentral:rRNA from 1 species
GAGUGCCAGCGUCAUACGCUGGCUGUCCAGGUGUGUAAAUACUCCUGUUAGCAAGGGCCGGGCAAGACCGGUGCCAGCCGCCGCGGUAACACCGGCGGCCCGAGUGGUGAUCGUGAUUAUUGGGUCUAAAGGGUCCGUAGCCGGUUUGGUCAGUCCUCCGGGAAAUCUGACAGCUCAACUGUUAGGCUUUCGGAGGAUACUGCCAGACUUGGAACCGGGAGAGGUAAGAGGUACUACAGGGGUAGGAGUGAAAUCUUGUAAUCCCUGUGAGACCACCUGUGGCGAAGGCGUCUUACCAGAACGGGUUCGACGGUGAGGGACGAAAGCUGGGGGCACGAACCGGAUUAGAUACCCGGGUAGUCCCAGCCGUAAACGAUGCUCGCUAGGUGUCAGGCAUGGCGCGACCGUGUCUGGUGCCGCAGGGAAGCCGUGAAGCGAGCCACCUGGGAAGUACGGCCGCAAGGCUGAAACUUAAAGGAAUUGGCGGGGGAGCACAACAACGGGUGGAGCCUGCGGUUUAAUUGGACUCAACGCCGGACAACUCACCGGGGGCGACAGCAAUAUGUAGGCCAGGCUGAAGACCUUGCCUGAAUCACUGAGAGGAGGUGCAUGGCC